GGUUCUAAUUUCUUCACAUCUCAUUUCUUGACUUCCAGAAAUGAAGAUGAUUCUCAGGGAGGAGCUCUGAAACACAACAUACCACAGCCUGUCAACAGAGCAAGUUCACUGAAGUGAUGACAGGACCCAGGGAGAACGAUGCUUUAUUUGAGCUGGAUAUUUCUUUGGCUUGUCACAGGAGAGAGAAUUAAAGGAAUGACUAUUUCAGAUUGCUUCACCAAGAAACUGCUUUGGGAAUAUUCUUCAACGAAUGAGCAGUUUGUCUUAUUUUGUGGCUUAACAGAGUCGUGCCACAGAAGUCAACUCUCACCAGCCCAAGGCUCUGAAAACUUGCCCUACAGUGGUCAUAAGGACUUACCUGAUGUCCAGUGGUACUUACAACCUCAAAAUGGAGAUCCAUUACGGGAAAUAACUAACAACUCUGCUCACAUCAUCCAGAAGAGCACCCUACACUUUUUGACGACAGGAAUACAUAACGCUGGGUCAUAUAUCUGUAGACCCAGGAUUAGGAGCCCUCGGGAUGAGGCCUGUUGUGUCAAGACCAUCUUAGAAGUUAAGCCUAAGACAAAUCUAUCCUGUAUACCAAAUAACUCUGUAUCACAUGAGCAAUACCUUCUUCUUGGUAGCACUGACUAUAUUCAUUGCCCUAGCUUCAACUGCCAAAGUGAUGCACAGAGUCCAAAUGUGACCUGGUACCAGAAUGGAAAGCUACUCCUUAAAGAAAAGAGCAACUCAAUCCUAGUGGAUGAAGUUUACGAAGAACAGGACGGCAUGUAUGUAUGUGAUUACACUGAGUCGGAUAACACAAGUGAGUGGACAGUCAGAGCUGUUGUUCAAGUGACAACCAUUGUGAAAGAUACUAAUCACAAACCAGAUAUUCUGGAUCCCAUCGAGGACACACUGGAAGUAGAACUUGGAAAGCCUUUAACUCUAAACUGCACAGCACGAUUUGGCUACCAAAAGAACUUUAUGCCUGUAAUAAAAUGGUACAUUAAAGAUUCUGACCAGGAGUGGGAAUUCCCAACAUCUGAAGAGAUCAGUGUUAAAUCCACCAAAAAGGAUAAAGUCAUUGCCCGCGUUAUCCACUUGAAAGAAGUUACUCAGAGGGAGCUUCACAGGAAGCUUAUUUGCUUUGCCCAGAACUCCAUCGGGAACACUACCCAGUCCAUUCAACUGAAAGAGAAAAAAGGAGUGGUGUUCAUAUACCUCCUACUUGGCACCGUCAUGACCCUGACCGGCGUGCUGAUGGCAGCUGUUCUGCUCUACAUGUACUGGAUUGAAAUAGUCCUGCUGUACCGAACCUACUGGAGCAAGGAUGAGACGCUCGGGGAUAAAAAGGUAUUUGAUGCUUUCGUAUCCUAUGCGAAAUGGAGCUCUUUUGAGAGUGAGGCCGCUUUAUCUCUGAGUGAGGAGUACCUGGCUCUGAAUCUGUUCCCUGAAGUUUUGGAAAACAAAUAUGGAUACAACCUGUGUUUGCUCGAAAGAGAUGUGGCCCCCGGAGGAGUGUAUGCCGAAGACAUUGUGAACGUGAUUAAGAAAAGUCGAAGAGGAAUAUUUAUCCUGAGCCCCAACUAUGUCAAUGGACCCAGUAUCUUUGAACUACAAGCCGCAGUGAAUCUGGCCUUGGAUGAUCAAACACUGAAACUAAUUUUAAUUAAGUUCUGCUCCUUCCAAGAACCAGGGUCUCUACCUCAUCUUGUGAAAAGAGCUCUCCGGGUUUUGCCCACAGUCACUUGGAGAAACUUAAAAUCAGUCCCUCCCAAUUCCAGGUUCUGGACUCAGAUGCGCUACCAUAUGCCAGUGAAAACCUCUAAAGAAUUGCAGUGGAACCAUCUCCGAAGUAUCCGCGAAUUGUUUCACUGGAAACGACUCAGUAAAACAGAAACCUCUGGGAGGAGCUCCCAGCCUAGGGGACGGUGAAGCGGACCCUGAACCUCCUCCUCCCCGCCCCUGGACUCUAAAAUCUUCACACUCUGCCAUCCCUGUCUGAAUGGAAUGAUUCGUCUGAGCAAUAAAGACAGGCAACUUCUGGACUCAUUCAAAUGUAAUGUGUCCCAUUCACUGGUCCGAAUGCCAUCCACGUUCAGAAUGGUGAAAAGGCAUCCUCAUCUGGCCACCACUUGGAGCCUGUAUGAAAUGAUCUUGAGUGGUUUUUCCACAGAGGCUCCCACAUCAGAAAAACCACUGUGGCUCUGGCACCAAGCGACAUCCUUGCUGGGAAUUUCAGUGAUGAAGUUAAAGAUGAGUUAAAAGAUUACAGUUCCAGGUAAGAUGGAGUAAAUACACACCACCCUAUCUUUCCCGCUCAUUGCAACUAUAACAUCUGAAUAAAAUGCUUAGAAAAUCAGUUUGAGGAUUUUGAAAUGUAAACCAAAGCAGAAUGACUGGAGAGAACAAGAAUUCAAAGUUUCAUGAUUUUACUUUCCUCCAAUAUCCCUUGGCCUGGACUCAACGCAGUCUGAAACCCAAAAGUGGAUAUUGGUAAUAACAGAGAGUUCAAGAAGAAGCCCUCUCGUUUCACCGUGAAGACCGGGGAAGGAGUUUCCUAACACUCUUAUAUUUUUUCCUUUCUAUGUUCUUUUACUUCCCAGCCUCUAGGCAAUUCUGCAAAAGCAGAGGCGAGAGGGCCCUCAAGAGCCUCCAUCUCUGUGGAAGGAGAAUUGUCCACUUUGAUACAAGAAGUUGUGGUCCCUACAGAGUGUGGCAAACCUCUUUUGAUUGUUUUUUUGGUUUCUCUGUCCUCUUACCAUUUAGGUAUGGAGAUAGAAGCAGUUGGGGAAGUGCACUGUAGGGUAUAUAAACACCAACACUCUAGCCAGAGAACUGCAAAAAAGAGGUUAAGAGGCCUCUAGAACCAGAAAGUACCAUGGGGAUUGCAGACAGAAAGGAUCCCAGGAAAGCAAACCCAUGAAGUUGUUUGCAAACCCCUGGGCUCAUCCCUAAGCUACAUAUGCUUGAAUCUGGCCCAAAAUAGAAUACUAUAAAUUUUGAGAAUUGAACUAUAGGAUAGACCACUUCCAGAGUUCCAGACUGACCACUGAAAGGUGUAUAUAUGGAAUACAUCUAAAAAGAACUAAAAGACAGUGAAACAGAACUGACAUUGAAACCACAAGGUUGGUUAGAAUUUGGGGCUUGAAUCCAACUGGGUCAAGUACUUGCUAAACAAAAAUAGCAUUCUACACAGGAUUUCAAGAAGAUCCAAAGUUGCAUAACAUAAUAUUUAAAAUGUUCAGGACACAAUCCACUGAAAGCAAAAAAUUACAUUUUCUGA